ACUCAAAGGAAUUGACGGGGGCCCGCACAAGCGGUGGAGCAUGUGGUUUAAUUCGAUGCAACGCGAAGAACCUUACCUACCCUUGACAUCCUGCGAAUCCUGAUGAGAGUUGGGAGUGCCGCAAGGAGCGCAGAGACAGGUGCUGCAUGGCUGUCGUCAGCUCGUGUUGUGAGAUGUUGGGUUAAGUCCCGUAACGAGCGCAACCCUUGUUCCUAGUUGCCAGCAUUAAGUUGGGGACUCUAGGAAGACUGCCGGUGAUGAACCGGAGGAAGGCGGGGACGACGUCAAGUCAUCAUGGCCUUUAUGGGUAGGGCUACACACGUGCUACAAUGGGGCGUACAGAGGGUCGCGAAGCCGCGAGGUGGAGCCAAUCCCGAAAAGCGUCUCGUAGUCCGGAUUGGAGUCUGCAACUCGACUCCAUGAAGUUGGAAUCGCUAGUAAUCGCGAAUCAGCAUUGUCGCGGUGAAUACGUUCCCGGGCCUUGCACACACCGCCCGU
rnacentral:rRNA from 1 species